rnacentral:rRNA from 1 species
AUUGAACGCUGGCGGCAGGCCUAACACAUGCAAGUCGAACGAGUGGCGGACGGGUGAGUAAUGUCUGGGAAACUGCCUGAUGGAGGGGGAUAACUACUGGAAACGGUAGCUAAUACCGCAUACCAUCGGAUGUGCCCAGAUGGGAUUAGCUAGUAGGGGGGGUAAAGGCUCACCUAGGGGACGAUCCCUGGCGGGUCUGAGAGGAUGACGGGCAAAACUGGAACUAGGACACGGCCCAGACUCCUACGGGGGGAAGCAGUGGGGAAUAUGGCACAAGGGGGGCAAGCCUGAUGCAGCCAUGCGGCGUGUAUGAAGAAGGCCUUCGGGUUGUAAAGUACUUUCAGCGGGGAGGCGUUACCCGCAGAAGAAGCACCGGCUAACUCCGUGCCAGCAGCCGCGGUAAUUC